GUGGGGGUAUACUGUAGUUUUGGGGUGCUUGGUUUUUUUUUUUUAUUUUUUUUUUUCAACAGGCCAUCUCCCACCAAGGCAGGGUGAGCCAAAAAAAAAAAGAAGAAACAUUUUCACAAUCACUAUCUUCCCAGAGGUGUGCCACUACAAUAGUUAACAUCUGCAAAUAUCCCCACCCCCUCCAGAGUGCAGGCACUGUACUUAGGUCGAGCUGUUGCCAAUGUGAUCCGUGGAGUGAUUUUGCAGAGAGUCCCAGCCUGAUAAAGAUAUCUCCAGCUGCUGUUAAAACCCACAUGGCUUCUGGACGCUGACUCACACUCACAAUGCACUCAUUUUUUGAACAGGCAGUGUUGGGGUUAACAACAAACAGUUGUCCAAGAGGAGAGAGACAACAAAUGGCAACC